CAGGCACGGAGCGCUUAUCUAUAUGCAUCCCGGUCUGAGAUAAGGUAAAGUGCGUUUAUUCAUCCAGGGCUAUUUAAAAAGAAAUAGUGACAGACAGUUAUGGUAGUAAAACAUUUUAUUACUUAGAAAGACAGAAUCUCGUCCACAAGUCCAGAUGAAACCAAAAAAAAAGAAAAAAAUUACACUGGCAAAUUAAACAAGACACACACAUAUUACAACUCCAGCAAUCCCAGCAGUGUAAUUCAGUAAAAGAUAUAAUCCUUAAACCUUCACCUGUUUAAAGUGCUCAAAGAAAUUACACAACGUUAAGGCGAACAAAUAAAACAUCACUGACACGUUUUUUUGGGGGUAUUUUAAUGUUAAAAGUAGGCACACUUAUUUUUUAAAGAAACAAAGCAAAAGUGUAAGAUAGAAGCUUUUUAACUUUAAAAGCAGUUUCCUCCUUUUCAGUCCUCUAAAGAUACAACCCAACAGGCCAUUUCUCUCUCUUCCUCCUGCCUGUUUUACAUUUGUGCUUUGACGGCAAAGGGGAAAAAAAAUCACUCAGUCAUCAAAUCCGUUAAUCUUCCAAAUCUCUGCCUCUCCCUUCGCCAUCUUAAAAUCCUGCAAUCCUGCAAAUACAAGCACAAUAAGAGCAAUUUAUAAUUGAAGGAGCGCCUUUAAAGUUCAGUGAAACAUGUACGGCUUCCUCUUGUUUGCUUCAUUUGUGGAGUUGGUAAAUCUGCCUCCACAGCAUGUAAGACUAACUCAGUAGCACUUGUAUCCUUACCUGUUGGACAUUAUAAAUAAACUUCCUUCACUUCAGAUUUUUCCAGGGCUGGAUUUAGAGACACUGUCUUCACCGCUAUUCUCAAACAGGCUCCUCUUACUAGAAAUGUCCACAUGUCUCAAAUCCUACAAAUCAGAAACAGAAUCAUUAUAUCAGUUCUUAUUACAGUGAAGAGAAAGAAAAAAACACUCUUUAAAUCUGGAGUCUUGAAAUAUUUCUGAAGCAGGGACCUCUUACGGGGCAAAUAGUUUUGUAAACACACCCUAAAAUGGUCUUUAUAUCGUCUGACAAUUUGGACUGACUUAAGCAUUUCUUCAUGCUCAGUAGAUAACUGCUAAAAAGCCAAUGGCACAAAGCAGGAGGAACGGGUCACUCUACUCUGACAAAAGUGAUGUUAGGACAGAUUAGCACGAAGUCAGUCAUGCCAGUGUUUCUGUAGGCGACCCUCUGCUUUAAAGUGUGCUUAUGAAUUUACCCAGAUAGAUAUUGUUUCUGCUCAGAUAUAACAAAGAUAAGAUUUCUGCAGCCAAAAACAUGCACUGCUAAAUCUAACAGCAAGUUGGGUAUGUCGUAUGAAGCUUUCUGAACAGCUUAAUUAAGUUAAACAUCCAACUCUAAAUUCUUAAGAUCAAAUUCUUUGAGCUACUUUUGAAAUUAAAUGAAACGUUCCCAUAAAUGACUUUACUGAGUUUACCAGAGUAGAAAAAAAAUCUGUGUUUAAAAAGAAUUAAUUGAUCAGAACUUUCUUCACGAUUAACGACAGUCAUGCGUUUUACGUAGUUACCUACAUAAUGGCAAACUCUUUAAUUUAAUGUAGGCAA
ensembl:lncRNA